GAUGAACGCUGGCGGCGUGCCUAAUACAUGCAAGUCGAGCGGACGGACGAGACGCUUGCUUCUCUGUUGUUAGCGGCGCACGUGUGUGUCACACGAGUAUCCUGUACUUAUCUUUCUGGUAUAACUUCGAAAAACCGUCUCUUACCCCGUAUAAUAUUUUGCUCCGCAGGGUGCAAUGGUGAAAGACGGUCUUGCUGUCACUUAUAGAUGGAUCCGCGCUGCAUUAGCUAGUUGGUAAGGUAACGGCUUAUCAAGGCAACGAUGCAUAGCCGACCUGAGAGGGUGAUCGGCCACACUGGAACUGAGCCACGGUCCUGACUCCUACGGGAGGCAGCAGUAGGGAAUCUGCCGCAAUGGGCGAAAGCCUGACGGAGCAACGCCGCGUGAGUGAUGAAGGUCUUCGGAGCGUAAAGCUCUGUUAUUAGGGAUGAACAUAUGUGUAAGUAACUGUGCACAGCUUGACGGUACCUAAUAAGAAAGCAACGGCUAACUACGUG
rnacentral:rRNA from 1 species